CAGUCGCCGCGGUAAUACGUAGGGUGCGAGCGUUAAUCGGAAUUACUGGGCGUAAAGCGUGCGCAGGCGGUUGUGUAAGACAGGUGUGAAAUCCCCGGGCUUAACCUGGGAACUGCGCUUGUGACUGCACAGCUAGAGUAUGGCAGAGGGGGGUGGAAUUCCACGUGUAGCAGUGAAAUGCGUAGAGAUGUGGAGGAACACCGAUGGCGAAGGCAGCCCCCUGGGCCAAUACCGACGCUCAUGCACGAAAGCGUGGGGAGCAAACAGGAUUAGAUACCCGUGUAGUCCCUGUCUCUUAUAC
rnacentral:rRNA from 1 species